rfam:Mastigocladus laminosus TT774 scaffold_14, whole genome shotgun sequence.
CUACGGACUUAAGUAAUUGAGCCUUAAAGAAGAAACUCUUUAAGUGAAUGCUCUCAAAUUCAGGGAAACCUAAAUCUGGCAACAGACAAGGCAAUCCUGAGCCAAGCCAAAUUAGUCAUUUGUGAUUUGUCAUUCGUCAAUUGUUGAAUAACAAAAGACAAGCGAUAAAUAACAAACAACUUAUUUGGAAGGUGCAGAGACCCGACGGGAGCUACCCUAACGUUAAGUCGAGGGUAAAGGGAGAGUCCAAUUCUCAAAGCCACAAGUAG